AGUGGCGGACGGGUGAGUAACGCGUGAGGAACCUGCCUUUCAGAGGGGGACAACAGUUGGAAACGACUGCUAAUACCGCAUAACACAUGGGUGUCGCAUGGCACUGAUGUCAAAGAUUUAUCGCUGAAAGAUGGCCUCGCGUCUGAUUAGCUAGUUGGUGAGGUAAUGGCCCACCAAGGCGACGAUGCAUAGCCGGCCUGAGAGGGCGGACGGCCACAUUGGGACUGAGACACGGCCCAAACUCCUACGGGAGGCAGCAGUAGGGAAUUUUCGUCAAUGGGGGGAACCCUGAACGAGCAAUGCCGCGUGAGUGAGGAAGGUCUUCGGAUCGUAAAGCUCUGUUGUAAGAGAAAAACGGCACUCAUAGGGAAUGAUGAGUGAGUGAUGGUAUCUUACCAGAAAGUCACGGCUAACUACGUGCCAGCAGCCGCGGUAAUACGUAGGUGGCGAGCGUUAUCCGGAAUGAUUGGGCGUAAAGGGUGCGUAGGUGGCAGAUCAAGUCUGGAGUAAAAGGUAUGGGCUCAACCCGUACUGGCUCUGGAAACUGAUCAGCUAGAGAACAGAAGAGGACGGCGGAACUCCAUGUGUAGCGGUAAAAUGCGUAGAUAUAUGGAAGAACACCGGUGGCGAAGGCGGCCGUCUGGUCUGGAUACUGACACUGAAGCACGAAAGCGUGGGGAGCAAAUAGGAUUAGAUACCCUAGUAGUCCACGCCGUAAACGAUGAGAACUAGGUGUUGGGGGAAUAACUCAGUGCCGCAGUUAACGCAGUAAGUUCUCCGCCUGGGGAGUAUGCACGCAAGUGUGAAACUCAAAGGAAUUGACGGGGGCCCGCACAAGCGGUGGAGUAUGUGGUUUAAUUCGAAGCAACGCGAAGAACCUUACCAGGCCUUGACAUCCUCUGACCGCUCUAGAGAUAGAGUUUCCCUUCGGGGCAGAGAGACAGGUGGUGCAUGGUUGUCGUCAGCGCGUGUCGUGAGAUGUUGGGUUAAGUCCCGCAACGAGCGCAACCCUUGUGAUAUGUUACUAACAUUGAGUUGAGGACUCAUAUCAGACUGCCGGUGAUAAACCGGAGGAAGGUGGGGAUGACGUCAAAUCAUCAUGCCCCUUAUGGCCUGGGCUACACACGUACUACAAUGGCGUCUACAAAGAGCGGCAAGCCUGUGAAGGCAAGCGAAUCUCAUAAAGGACGUCUCAGUUCGGAUUGAAGUCUGCAACCCGACUUCAUGAAGCUGGAAUCGCUAGUAAUCGCGAAUCAGCAUGUCGCGGUGAAUACGUUCUCGGGCCUUGCACUAACCGCCCGUCAA
rnacentral:rRNA from 1 species